rnacentral:lncRNA from 1 species
UGCGUUUCCAGCGGGCACUCGCGUGGCAAGACGCCAGUGGCAGGCUUCCAGCGCCCGGCCCCGGCAUGGGAAGGAGCCCUAGCGUUUCAUCCGGACCAGACCCAGCCCUCGGAAUCUAUUUUUUGCCUCCAGUUACCAGAUGUAUUGAAGUUGCCAGCAAAGUUGGGUUUUAUUCCUCUGUUUCUUCCUCCCUCCCUCCCGCGCCCCCGUCCCCCGCCGCAUUAUUUCCUUUCCUAGCGGUGCUUUGAAGAUGUGGAACUCGCCGCUCAUUCUAAUUCUAGCUUAUAACUGUUCUUGCGUGUGCGAGACGAAUGGUGGAGGGUCCCCACCCACCCACGCGAAAUCCAAAUGAAAACGCAGGGAGAGCUGUCUCCCACCCACUCACCCAGUGUCAGCCACAGCAGACGACCACAUAUUCAAAUAAGACCAAGACACGGGAGGAUGGGGUAGGGGGCGGGUUUGAGGGAGUUUAAGAUGUGAAUGGGCUGAUGGAAGGGAGAGCGCGCGCCUUAGGACGGAAUAAACAAGGGAAACACAGACAAGAAAGAUGAUGCAGAAAAUAUAUCUGCGUACCAACAUUGAAAACAGUAGGUCAGCUUUAAGUGCCUAGAUUCGGAUUGACAAUACUUCCCGGGCUCCUGUGGAAGCAGAAUGAAUGAAUGAAUGAAUGAAUGAAUGAAUGAAUUCUUAAAAAAUAAGGGAGAGAGAGAGAUAGAAUACAGGAGGCUCAGCCUUGGCCACCCAGAUGCUUUGCGUUUUGUAAGCAUCUUUGUCUAAGUGUUCCGGACUCCCAAGAAGUUAACUGGAGUUGGAAGUAAGUCAUCUCCUAGAGGGGGAAUGGAAGUCUAGACAAGAGAAACUGACAGCCAGCCGCCUCCGCUGUCACCGUCACACCCAAAUGAGCCAGAACGUCACCCACGGCGCAAACUCAGACAAUUUUCAACAGAUUCCCUUUUUCUGCAUCUCCAUUCUGGACGAAAGAAAGAAAGAAAGAAAGAAAGAAAGAAAGAAAAAGUUCUUUAAAAAUCACUUAGAGGGUAACACGUGGUUCUUGCGAAAACGGAGUUAUUUUUAAAAGAAAAAAAAAAAGUGUCUCUCCACAGGAUGGAUGUUCUAAGUUUUCUCUGCACCCUCCCGAAGCCAAUGGGAAUCUGUAAUAGCCAUUCCAAACGCCUCCGGAGAGAGGCCGACCCAGGGAGGAAAUGGGAACAGUUUCCAGCCGGCUUGGUGCAGAAUUUCGCUGUAAAUCCUUUCAGUUUGCCAAGGGGGCAGCAAAGCCUAGGGAGAGCUUGUCAAGCGGCAGAAUCCACAGGGAAGACCACAUUUUAGCACAAAUAACUCAUCUACCUGCUUUCAAAUACUCAUCUUGGUGUGCAUAAGUGUACAGGAGUAUCCACAGAAGGUUCUGUCUUUGAAACCUUAACCUGAGAUAACAGUAUAAUUAUUUCACCUUUAAGAAUACAUUUUGGUUUAAAAGAAGAAGGAACUCUGCACAGGUUUUACCUUGUCAUUUGUGCUGGUAGAAAAUGAGGAAGACUGAAAAUGUGAGACAAGGUAGCUGCCAAUGUACAGAAUUUGUAUUAUAGAUUAUCGCUGUUUGUAAGUUAUAAGGAAAUAGGGAUGCCUGGUGGUUCAGUCAGUUAAGCCCCCGACUCAAGGGUUUGAGAGGUCAAGCCCUGCACCCAGCUCUGUGCUGACAGCUGGGAGCCUGUAGCCUCUUUAGGAUUCUGUGUCCCCCUCUCUCUCUGCCCCUCACCCACUAGCACUGUCCCUCUCUCUCUCAUAAAUAAACCCUAAAAAAUAAAAACUAAAUAAAUGAUAAGGAAACAAUAUCAUCUGGAUGUGCUCCUUACUAAAGACUGUUGAUGUGACGAUCGUAAUCGGGGCGAGGAAAAUUAAGUACAAAAAAAAUAUCACAUCUAAUGUAUGAACAGAUAAGUGCAACGAGUUUCUUAACCACGUGACCCCUACAUCAGCUUUAGAAAUAUGUGCUGCUGGAGCCAGAGGAAGGAAAAAAGUAGUCAAAGUGGUUCGGGGGCUCCAGAGUGUAAUAAGUUAGCAGCCUCACAAAACCGGGAUUUUGAGGUCACUUUAUUUUUAUUAAGAAACUAUCACUAAUAUAGAAGGGUACAAGAGUAGAGAAAGAAAAAGCACAUCUGUGAAAGUAAAAAAAAAAAAAAAUCAGCUCAUUCCUUAUUGUUUGGACUUUGAUCCUCAGUGGGGUUUUUACCUCAAUUGAAAUUUGACUGCCAUUUCAAAUCUUUUAGGUCGCCCUCCGUUUAUUUGUACGCACCCCCAUCUACACACGCACAUGUACUUUGGCCUGUGUUUCUAAUACUUUGAGGAAGUAAAGCUAACACAGGAUUUGGAUUUAUAAGAUCAUGGUUUAAGCCCAAGGCACUGAAAAUUUUGAUAUCGGGUAAGCUCGGCUCUGAGCCACUGUUUACUCGUUAAUAAAAUGGCCAUAAAAAUACCUGUUCUACCAGACUCGCUGUAUGGUCACAGUAUGAGUCGGUGCAUGUGAAAAUGCUUUAGAAAGUUCAGCUGUUAUUCAGUUGUUGCCAACAAUAUUAUCAUUACAUCACACAGUCCCAGCCUUCAAAACAUUGGAAAGUUACAUCAACCUGAACAGUUUCCUCUAAUGUUAUCAUCUUACAUUACCCUGGAACGGUUAUCAAAACAAAGGAGGUAACAGAUCCCAUCUAGGAUACCACAUAGCCUUAGUCAUCGUAUCUCCUAUUCUGUGUGACAAUUCCUCCAUUUUUCCUUGUUUUUGAUGACCCUGGGAGUUUUGAAGAAUAAUGGCAGGGUAUUUUGUCUCUCAGUUCAGGUUUGUCUGAUUUAACUCUAGUUCUGGGUUCAGGGAAAGAAAAAUACCAGGGAGGUGGACUAUUGUUCUCAUCUCAUCGUAGCAGGUGGUGCAUGAUAUCAGCAUGAUGUCACUCAUGAUAACAUCAUCACUCUCUAAUGUAUCGUGUGCAAGGUUUCUCCACUAUACAAACUAUUUGUCCUUUUCCAUACUCUGUGCUUUGGAAGUGAGUCACAAGUCCUGCUGACCUUCAUGAAUUUAGAAUUUUUAAAAGCACAAAAUAAGCAUUUAGUGCAAUUCAUAAACACCCCAGAUAUUGAGUUCACCCAGGAAUAAUCUCUCAGGAAAUUCCUCCUGUAUUAUCUACAUCCUCAGGAAAGUGUUCAACUAUCUCUUCUUGGCUAUGUAUUUUAAACCCAUCUUCAACUAUUCCAGGGUUUAUAGUCCCCAAACCCAGUCCCCAAAUCCUGUUCUUUUCUGAAAUGUCUCCUACCUUCUUGCUUCUCAUGGCCACAGCUGGUUGGUGAAUUCCAACUUUCCUACAAAAUGGUGGCGUCCGUGACCUCUUAUCCCUCCUUUCCAUUCAUGGUUUUCUGACAGUAUGAUGUUCAUUUCAUUGUCCCUCCAAGGGACAAUAGCAAACAACAAGUUUGUCUAUACAUUAGUCUAAAUGUCUAGUUUAAUUAGUCUAAUUACGCAAAGAAUUUAGUUGCUGUUACAUUUCUAUUAUUCUGGUAAACACUUGAAACAUGCUUGCUGACAUCAUGGAUAAGCUUCUGUAGCAGGUAGAGCAAAAGCCGAUCUUUUUUUUCUAAGAUGAGAGCCACUGUAAAGAAAUCCAUGGUUAACACACUGUGGAUAGGUAACUUUUCAUUUCUCUCACAGGUAUAAAACACACGGAAGCAUUUUUUGUGAGUUUGGCUUGAUUCAUGUGAAUCUGUGACACUAAAACGCAUACUCUUCUGGUUAUGAAACAGCACAAUACAGUUCACGGUUCACCCAUUUAUCCAACAAACAUUUGUAGAAAACACAAAACAUGUAGCAAAACUUUGAUGAAUAGAUUUAGUCUCUAUUCUGUCAAAACUUCAGUGCAUUGGAGAUACACUGACAAAUAAUUGCACACUCAUUAGGUAAAUAAAACAACUCAGGUAUAUGCAAAGUACUUCAGUGCACUGAAACAGAGUCUCUGUAGAGGGAAGGUCUUUUGAUAAUGUACUGAUUUUAUAUGAACUUUGCAUCAUUAUUUUCACUUCCAGCCUUCUGCAUACCGCAACCCCAGGUACCAGCUGGAGUCUCCUGUCUCCUGGACAUCCCUUUGGGCCAAGAACUAAAAAAUCAGUGUAGAAGUAAUUGCUUGAAUAUCCAUUUCCCCUAAGCCUUGGUUUCUUUGCCUCUCCAUGGAGGUUACAAGACGAUUACGCGUGAACACAAACAGAAGGUACAUACUGACAGGAAACAAAAGCACGUUAAACCAUGGAGAUUUCCUUGUACAUAAACCUGCCAUUUGUUAAGUGGUUGCUCCUCGAAUCCGAAGGGAAGCUGGCAAAAACUCGACGCAAACCUUCUCCAACAGCACUGGGGAAGAAUAAGUGAGGGAAAUGCCUUUUUAAAAAGGGUAUACAGUUGGUAUAAAGAUGUA